rnacentral:rRNA from 1 species
ACGGGAGGCAGCAGUGAGGAAUAUUGGACAAUGGGUGAGAGCCUGAUCCAGCCAUCCCGCGUGAAGGACGACGGUUCUAUGGAUUGUAAACUUCUUUUGUACAGGGAUAAACCUACCCUCGUGAGGGUAGCUGAAGGUACUGUACGAAUAAGCACCGGCUAACUCCGUGCCAGCAGCCGCGGUAAUACGGAGGGUGCAAGCGUUAUCCGGAUUUAUUGGGUUUAAAGGGUCCGUAGGCGGGCUUAUAAGUCAGUGGUGAAAGCCGGCAGCUUAACUGUCGAACUGCCAUUGAUACUGUAAGUCUUGAGUGUAUUUGAAGUGGCUGGAAUAAGUAGUGUAGCGGUGAAAUGCAUAGAUAUUACUUAGAACACCAAUUGCGAAGGCAGGUCACUAAGAUACAACUGACGCUGAUGGACGAAAGCGUGGGGAGCGAACAGGAUUAGAUACCCUGUUAGUCCACGCUGUAAACGAUGCUAACUAGUUUUUGGGUUUUUAAGACUCAGAGACCAAGCGAAAGUGAUAAGUUAGCCACCUGGGGAGUACGUUCGCAAGAAUGAAACUCAAAGGAAUUGACGG